rnacentral:rRNA from 1 species
AUUGAACGCUGGCGGCAGGCCUAACACAUGCAAGUCGAGCGGUAGAGAGGUGCUUGCAUCUCUUGAGAGCGGCGGACGGGUGAGUAAUGCCUAGGAAUCUGCCUGGUGUGGGGGAUAACGUUCGGAAACGGACGCUAAUACCGCAUACGUCCUACGGGNGAAAGCGGGGGAUCUUCGGACCUCGCGCCAUUAGAUGAGCCUAGGUCGGAUUAGCUAGUUGGUGAGGUAAUGGCUCACCAAGGCGACGAUCCGUAACUGGUCUGAGAGGAUGAUCAGUCACACUGGAACUGAGACACGGUCCAGACUCCUACGGGAGGCAGCAGUGGGGAAUAUUGGACAAUGGCGAAAG